UACGGAGGGAGCUAGCGUUGUUCGGAAUUACUGGGCGUAAAGCGCACGUAGGCGGCUUUGUAAGUUAGAGGUGAAAGCCCGGGGCUCAACCCCGGAAUUGCCUUUAAGACUGCAUCGCUUGAAUCCGGGAGAGGUGAGUGGAAUUCCGAGUGUAGAGGUGAAAUUCGUAGAUAUUCGGAAGAACACCAGUGGCGAAGGCGGCUCACUGGACCGGCAUUGACGCUGAGGCGCGAAAGCGUGGGGAGCGAACAGG
rnacentral:rRNA from 1 species